rnacentral:rRNA from 1 species
AAGAUGAAAAGCACUUUGAAAAGAGGGUUAAACAGCACGUGAAAUUGUUGAAAGGGAAGCGCUUAUGACCAGACUUUCUCCAGGCGGAUCAUCCGGUGUUCUCACCGGUGCACUUCGCCUGGUCUAGGCCAGCAUCGGUUUCUAUAGGGAGAUAAAAGCUUUGGGAACGUGGCUCCUCCGGGAGUGUUAUAGCCCAUUGUAUAAUAUCCUUACGGGGACCGAGGUACGCGCUCUGCAAGGAUGCUGGCAUAAUGGUCAUCAGCGACCCGUCUUGAAACACGGACCAAGGAGUCGAACAUUUGUGCGAGUGUUUGGGUGUCAAACCCUCACGCGUAAUGAAAGUGAACGGAGGUGGGAGCCUUUUGGCGCACCAUCGACCGAUCCUGAUGUCUUCGGAUGGAUUUGAGUAGGAGCAUAACUGUUCGGACCCGAAAGAUGGUGAACUAUGCGUGGAUAGGGUGAAGCCAGAGGAAACUCUGGUGGAGGCUCGCAGCGGUUCUGACGUGCAAAUCGAUCGUCAAAUCUGCGCAUGGGGGCGAAAGACUAAUCGAACCAUUACACCAGCGGUAAAACUUGAUUUACUAGGUGGUUAAGAGGGCGCCCGAGAGGGCAGAUGGAAUCCUAGGUGUUCACCAAGCUACCCUGUAGCUCGUCCAGGCUACCCUGUAGCCCGUCCGAGUUACCCUGUAGCGAGGUGGGCGUCGACACCGCUAAAUUGCGGGAACAUCCUGCAAAGGCCCCGGGCUACCGCGGCACGCCGAAAGGCGCGGCCGCUCCGAGAAUAACGCUCUCGGGCAUGGUAACAACGCCUGGCGGCUGGGAUGACCCGCAGCCAACCCCGUGGUAUGGGGAGAGUUCACAGACUAGACAGCGGUGGGUCGGUGCUUCACCGGCCUAAGAUAUAGUCGAUCCGGGCCCUGAAAAGGCGUCCAUCCAAUACUUAUGCGAGCUGUGCCGAG